rnacentral:lncRNA from 1 species
GUGACGAACAACUUGUGUAGACUGAUACAGCAGGAGUAGGAGCUGUUUAUUGUAGGACAGGAGCGAUAUUUAUACAUUUCACACAGCUUAUCUAAUUAACAUAAACUAGAUACAUCAGUCAACCAAUAAGAAAUCUCCACACUUAAUGGCUCGCUGGCUCCACCUCACAAACCACUCCCUCUGGCAUUUUGCCAGGCGCCAUCCAGACUUGUCUACAGACUCUAACAUUUGCUAGGCGCCAUCCUGACUUGUUUACAGACUCUAACAUUUCCCCCUUUUGUUUAAUUUAAAUAACGACCAUAGUGGUUUUUACACAAACACCAUAAAUAAUCUGCUACAAGCAGAAAGGGAGGAUACAAAUGUCACAAUUGUGACAAUUGAUGGCUCAAUUGAUGGCUCCAUGCAAGAAGCCCUUGGAAAAAUUAUACCAGCAAUGACACGGUUUGCAAAGAUACCGAGUUACAAUUUGUUGUAGAUUACAGUUUGUUGUCUCAGUCCAGGUAAAGCAGUGUCUCAAUAGAUUAACUCACAGUCCAGGUAACUCAUAGUCCAGGUAAGUUCUGCAGGCAGCUAGCUUGAUCCAAAGUCUCAUCCGGUUUUCAGCAACACUGGAAAUUUUUCCACCUUGGUCUUUACCGGCACUGGGACGAAGGCAGGAACUCUGGAUGGCUAAAGAAAAUCCUGUAGCAUUCUACUAAGAAAACAACCUUCUGAACAAUUUAGUACAUUAUCUCAAGGUUUUUUUUGCAUUUGAAAUAAGCAUUAGUAGUGCUCAUUACUCAUCAGCUUCCACAUGUGGGAGAACCAUUGUAGCUUAGUUAUUG